GACGAACGCUGGCGGCGUGCCUAAUGCAUGCCAGUUGAGCGCUGAAGGUUGGUACUUGUACCAACUGGAUGAGCAGCGAACGGGUGAGUAACGCGUGGGGAAUCUGCCUUUGAGCGGGGGACAACAUUUGGAAACGAAUGCUAAUACCGCAUAAAAACUUUAAACACAAGUUUUAAGUUUGAAAGAUGCAAUUGCAUCACUCAAAGAUGAUCCCGCGUUGUAUUAGCUAGUUGGUGAGGUAAAGGCUCACCAAGGCGAUGAUACAUAGCCGACCUGAGAGGGUGAUCGGCCACAUUGGGACUGAGACACGGCCCAAACUCCUACGGGAGGCAGCAGUAGGGAAUCUUCGGCAAUGGACGAAAGUCUGACCGAGCAACGCCGCGUGAGUGAAGAAGGUUUUCGGAUCGUAAAACUCUGUUGGUAGAGAAGAACGUUGGUGAGAGUGGAAAGCUCAUCAAGUGACGGUAACUACCCAGAAAGGGACGGCUAACUACGUG
rnacentral:rRNA from 1 species